ACUGAGGAAAGUCCACAUUUUGGAAGUCUAGUCUACUUCUUUCACAAAAAUCUGUGGUUGAUACAUCUGAAAACUGAAAACCACUCCAUUUGGAAGUUUACAUAAUUACAUGACACCGCAAGCAGGCCACCCGGCAGCCACACGCGCUGUGGACCCAGAGCACUUGGCUACACUGCCGGGACCUCUCAGGAGGCAACCGUGUGUGGAGGGGCGAGAGCAGAUCUUUAGGUGAAGAAUAGAAGUACGUACGUAGGGACGGAUGCUUCUGUUUGCUUGAUGUGGCCAGUUGGAAAUCAAACAGAGAGAGGCGUGAAUCUAAAUGCACGGUCACAACCACCGUUCCUGGAAUCCUUACUCCUUGUUCAAUUGCUUUCUUAACCUCAUGAAAAUAAAAUCAAGGCGGAGGCAAGCCACUUCGAAAAACACACAGAGAAUUCAUCUUCACUGUGCAGGAGAUAAAAUCAAAGGAUGCACUGCUGUCCCACUGCUUUUUCAUCAGCUUAAAAAGAGUGUAUACCAACAACAAAUCUGCUGGUGCAAGGGGGUUAGCCCAUCAAAAAGAGAUCAAAGGCAAUAAGAAGGUCUCCAUGAGACUCACUCUACUUCUUGGUUACUCCAAAAAGAAGAUGCCCCACUCUCUCUGGAUCGGAGCCUCUUGCCUCCCCGUGUCUCAGUCCUCAUCAGGAGAUAUCCAUCCAUCCCCCGUGUCCUAGGCUGAAAAGACCAAAGUUCAGGGGGACCACCUGAGACACCUGCCUUCAGAUCUAGAUUAAAGCGGGAAACGUGUCUGAAAAAAGUUGUCAGUGGAUAAAACAGUGUUGCUGAGUAAAUAAAUAAAAUUCUGCUUACAAUGUGGAGUCACAUCGCAGUCAUUGCUGGAAAGUGACUGCAGCCUUUGUUUUAAUAAAAUACACCAGCUUUGAUUUAAAGGCGGCAAGAUCUAC